CACCCGAUAGCACAUGGUGUGCGCCUGCGUAUCUUUCUGGAAUUAAUAAGGCAAGACUUAUGGUGCUGGAGUACCCCGUUCGACUCGGGGUCGGGUGA